AAGUCAGACGAGCGGAACGGAGACACAGGGCCGACAGACCGACGACGCUGGCCGAGCGGAGGUUCCGGAGACGCGAGUGGGCGGGGCGCCGUGUCCGGAAGGGGGCGGGGCGCCGUGGAGGGCGGGGCCGCGUGGUCUCUGAGCUGUCCGAGUGGUCCUUCCCUGCCUGAGUGAUGUAGAGACCGCCGUUAAUUGCCCUUAAAGCCCUCAGAAGCGAUCCUUGGGUGACAGGGUGGCGCCAAACCUGCCCAGUCAAUAUUGCCUAAGUUAUAAUUUGGAAACUAGGUCUUAGAUGCUAACUGGUCUGAUAGAGCAUCCUUGACGGCUCAUUUCUUGUAAAUACCAAUGAAAACAGGAUUCUCAGAAACAGUUUAAAUUUCGAGCCUUGCUCGUAUUCUCAGAGAUGGGGUCGUACCGCACAUAAACGUUUGGUUAUGUGAACAAAAAUCUAGGCGAGGCCGGCACCAGGGAGGCAGAGGCAGACGAACCCCUGUGAGUUCGAGGCCAGCCUGGUCUAAAAAGAAAGAAAAAAAAAAAUCUGAGAAAACUGUCUCGAGAAAUAUUCGUUUACAAAAUCGUUUGCAGUGCUUCUUUUUCCUUAGCCUGCCCUAGGGCACUUUUUCUGGACGCCUUGGCUGAACACUGGAAAACCCUGGAAAUUUCUUUACAUACCAGCCUCCUGGACCUGGUCCCCUGUGAUCUGUUUCAAAGGCACCGCUGCCCGCUCCCCACCCCUAUGCUCCGGUGGUGACUAGUAUCCACUCUAGAGUUACAGAAACCGAGCGACUGUCAUCAGCGUCACCUGCUAGCUACCCUGUGCUAAAACUCUUCGGCAGCUGAAAGUUUUCUAUUUACCGCUGAAGUUCUCAAGGAAAUCUUCAGGAACAGGUGAUGGUCAUGUCUCCUCUAAGUUUCUCUGUGGCCUCCUGCUACAGAAGGCUGUGCUCUGGGCACCACAUGGUUGUUGCUGGGAUUACCCACACGAGACCCUCAGAAGAUCAGACCCACUAACAUUCACUGUGGAAGGAGAGUGGGCUCGUGCGUGGGCUUGUGAAGUGCUGCACUCGACACACAAGGCCCUGCUCCUCCCAGGAUGAAGAGCAGUUAUUGGUUGUUGGGUUAGAGACUGAAGUGGUGCCAACGCCCGUGAGUUGUCUAUACUCCUGUGGGUAACCCCUGCUCACGCUCCUGUAAGUAUCCACCCAACUGAACUCACUGAUUCACCGAGGUAAGUAAACGUGAGGUCUAGUUUUGGUGCCCUGCCAGGGGUGAAUAGAUAAUUGUUUAUAUCGUCCCAGGAAAGACAGGGACAAAAGUCCCCAAUACCCUACCCCUGCCUGGCUCCCCUACCCACUCACUCCCAGUUCUUGGCCCUGGCUUUCCCCUGUCCUGGAGCAUAUAAAGUUUGUUAAACCAAGGGGCCAUUCUUCCCAAUGAUGGCCAACUAGGCCAUCUUCUGCUACAUAUGCAGCCAGAAACAUGAGCUCUGGGGGUACUGGUUAGUUCAUAUUGUUGUUCCACCUAUAGGGUUGCAGACCCCUUCAGCUCUUGGGUACUUUCUCUAGCUCCUACACUAGAACACUGGGGGCCCUGUGUUCUGUCCCAUAGCUGACUGUGAGCAUCCACUGAGAAGGAACAUGUUCUAUGGAGGUAUGAUCAGGUAUGGGAAAGGGGGAGCCUCUGCCGGCCCAUGCUGAGGCAUCCCUUCCCCCUGAGGGACCAGCCACACAACAAUAUUGUAUAGAAUAGAAGAAUAGAGUUUAUUAAGGAGUUAAGAGGGUAGUAGAGGGGCUGGUGAGAUGGCUCAGUGGUUAAGAGCACUGACUGCUCUUCCAAAGGUCCUGAGUUCACAUCCCAGCAACUACAUGGUGGCUUACAACCAUCUGUAAUGAGAUCUGACACCCUCUUCUGGUGCAUCUGAAGACAGCUACGGUGUACUAAUGAAUAGUAAUAAAUAAAUCUUUAAAAAAAAAAAAAAAGAGGGCUGGUGAGAUGGCUCAGUGGGUAAGAGCACCCGACUGUUCUUCCGAAGGUCAGGAGUUCAAAUCCCAGCAACCACAUGGUGGCUCACAACCAUCCGUAAUGAGAUCUGACUCCCUCUUCUGGAGUGUCUGAGGACAGCUACAGUGUACUUACAUAUAAUAAAUAAAUAAAUAAAUAAAUAAAUAAAUAAAUAAAUAAAUCUUUAAAAAAAAGAGGGUAGAAGAGGCAGAGAAGGAGAGAGUAGAGAAGUAGAGGAGUAGAGGCUGGCCAUGAGCAUGUGGAGAGAGAAGGGGGAAGGGGCGCAGGGACAGUGGGAGCAAGAAGGCAAGAGACCAAGAAAGGAAUGAGAAAGGGAGGAGGGGCAAGCAGCCCCUUUUAUAAUGGGUCAAGCCUACCUGGCUAUUGCCAGGUAACUGUGGGACGGAGUUUAGACAGAAUGCUAACAAUAGUUAUGUAACAGUCCCUGUCUUAAACAAUGUUUUUUUGUUUUUGUUUUUGUUUUUUACUUCCCUCCUGUUUUAGGGUUUUUCUUGCUGUGAAGAGACAUCAUGACCAAGGCAACUCUUAUAAAGGACAACAUUUCAUUGGGGCUGGCUUCCAGUUCAGAGGUUCAGUCCAUUAUCAUCGUGGAGGGAAGCAUGGUGGCCUGCAGGCAGACAUGGUGCUGGAGGAGCCAGAGUUCUAUAUCUUGAUUCACAAGCAGCAGGAGGCUGGGUUCCACACUGGUCAGACCUGAGCUCAUAAGGCCUCAAAUCCCGCCUCCACAGUGACCUUUCCUCCAACAAGGCCACACCUCCUAAUAGUGCCACUUCCUGGGCCAAGCAUUCAAACACCGAGUCUUUGGGAUUAGGGGGUAGGGUGGGGCAAACCUAUUCAAACCUCCAUACCUGAUGAGUACUUAAAGGAGACUUUAUUUAUACUCGCUGGGCUAAUCUCUUAGGGUUCUCAUCACAGCCUUCUGCCUUUUUACACUUGUCUUCUUUCUUAUUGACUCCUCUGAGUUUUAAAGCUUCAAGCAUGAAUCCUCUGUAAGAUUUGUGUAUUGCUAGCAUCCUCUCCCAGUAUGUCCUCUUUUUACUCUGCCAAUGGCUUCCGAUAGUUGUAUUCCUGACUCCCCGUGACCAAAUCUGGUAUACCAACAUAGACAGAUGAUCGCAACAUGCUGCUAAAAUCAGCCACUUCAAAGGAGCCCAGAGGCUGCCUCGGUUCUGAGGUAGCUCACAGCAGUGGUACCUAUGUCUGGGUGCUGGUUUUUUCAGCAUCAGUGGCUCUGAGGGCAAGGAGACUGGGCGAGCUGAUGGGCUUAUCCAUCUUACUGAUAACCUUCGAUCCCAGGUCUCCACUGCAGUGCCUUGCCAUGGUUGUUCAACCAAGUCACCAGCCCUAACUCCUUGUAUCUGAUUGCAACUGUUAUUUUGUGGUUCUUCUUAUUUUAUUUGCUGUGCGCGUGGUGUUUUGCCUUCAUGCGGGCUGGAUACCACACACAUGCAGUACCAAUUGAGACCAGAAGAGGGCACCAAAUGCCCUAGAAUUAGAAUUAGACCGUUGUAUGCCUCCAUGCGGGUGCCAAAAAUGGGUUGUGUUUUAAAAGUAGAUGGCAGUGUUUGGGAACUUCUCGAAUCUUUAGGGGGCGGAGCCUAGCUAGAAGAAGCAAGCCAGUAGUGGUAAGAAUAUUUAUUAUUGACUUUUUCCUGUCUGCUCUUCUGCCUCCUGCCCACCAUGUUGCAAAGGGCUCUGCUCUACCAUGCCCUUCUUUGCCUGAUGGAAUGGCAUGUGUGAAACCAUGAGCCUUGUUCCUUGAAGCUGUUCUCCCGGGUGCUGUGAUCAUAUCUCUGCAAAGGUCACUGGAGUGCUGAGUAGUGGGUUUUUUUUUAAUUAAUUUAAAUAUUCUUAUCAAUUAAUUAAUUUUAUGUGUAUGGAUAUUCUGUCCGCAUGUAUGUCUGUGUGCUAAAGUGGGUGUCUGCUACCUGACAAGAACAGAAGCAGAUGUUGGGUCUAUGUGGGAGGGGAGAACUGGUUCUCAAAACAUUUCUUCUGACACACCAUAGCAUCCAUGUGCCCACAACUAUGCACACACACAAAUAAAACUUAAAGAAAUCGAUCCCCACCCUACACACACCACAUGGCUAAAUAUAUAAAUACCAUGGCAAUGCUAUAUUCAAGAAGAAUAGCUGUUAGUGUUUGCCCGGGAGUGGUCCUGGCUUGUUGUUUGAGUUUGGUAGUGUUCCUCUCUUUACGUUGCAUGGAAUAGUCAGGGAAGCAUGGGUAUUAGCUGGCCACCUGGUCUAAGCGAGAGCCAGAGCCAUCUAAUCCAAGAGAGGGCUCAUCUAAGAAGCUGGAAUUCAGUCCCAAGCAAAGGCCAUCCUCUCAUCCUCCCACGCAUUGAUCCACACGGCAAAUAUGGCAACCAGAGGGAAUAAGGAUCUUUCAUCUCAAUCGAUCUCAGUGUAAGGGAGAAAUGGGAUUCCGGUGUUGCUAACUCAGAACAGCACACAGCACAGUCAGAUCCUCUCCACAGCCAACAUAGUGGGGGAGGGAGUUUUGUUGCUCUCAGUGCAUUACUGCCUCCAGCAAAUGGUCUUAGACCUUAUUACUGCAUUACACACACACACACACACACACACACACACACCACACAGAUACAAAGACACACACAGAGA